rnacentral:rRNA from 1 species
AACGAACGCUGGCGGCGUGCCUAACACAUGCAAGUCGAACGAGAAAGGGGCUUCGGCUCCGAGUAAAGUGGCGCACGGGUGAGUAACACGUGGGUAACCUGCCUCUAAGAUUGGGAUAACUCGUCGAAAGAUGAGCUAAUACCGGAUAAGACCACAGUUCCCGCGGGAACAGGGGUCAAAGGUAGCCUCUGCUUGCACGCUAUCACUUAGAGUUGGGCCUGCGCACCAUUAGCUAGUUGGUAGGGUAACGGCCUACCAAGGCAAAGACGGUUAGCGGGUGUGAGAGGAGGAUCAGCCACACUGGAACUGAGACACGGUCCAGACUCCGACGGGAGGCAGCAGUGGGGAAUAUUGCGCAAUGGGCGAGAGCUUGACGCAGCAACGCCGCGUGAGUGAUGAAGGCCUUCGGGUCGUAAAGCUCUGUCGGGAGGAACGAAUGCUCCCAAGGUUAACAGCCUCGGGAGGUGACGGUACCUUCAAAGGAAGCACCGGCUAACUCUGUGCCAGCCGCCGCGGUAAAAC